CCUACGGGGCGCAGCAGUGGGGAAUAUUGGACAAUGGGGGGAACCCUGAUCCAGCCAUGCCGCGUGUGUGAAGAAGGCCCUCGGGUUGUAAAGCACUUUCAGUGAGGAAGAACGCCUGGUGGUUAAUACCCAUCAGGAAAGACAUCACUCACAGAAGAAGCACCGGCUAACUCCGUGCCAGCAGCCGCGGUAAUACGGAGGGUGCGAGCGUUAAUCGGAAUUACUGGGCGUAAAGCGCGCGUAGGUGGCUUGAUAAGCCGGUUGUGAAAGCCCCGGGCUCAACCUGGGAACGGCAUCCGGAACUGUCAAGCUAGAGUGCAGGAGAGGAAGGUAGAAUUCCCGGUGUAGCGGUGAAAUGCGUAGAGAUCGGGAGGAAUACCAGUGGCGAAGGCGGCCUUCUGGACUGACACUGACACUGAGGUGCGAAAGCGUGGGUAGCAAACAGGAUUAGAUACCCUGGUAGUC
rnacentral:rRNA from 1 species